rnacentral:rRNA from 1 species
UACGGGGGGGGCAAGCGUUGUUCGGAAUUACUGGGCGUAAGGGGCGCGUAGGCGGCGCAACAAGUCACUUGUGAAAUCUCCGGGCUUAACCCGGAGCGGUCAAGUGAUACUGUCGUGCUAGAGUGCGGAAGGGGCUACUGGAAUUCUCGGUGUAGCGGUGAAAUGCGUAGAUAUCGAGAGGAACACCUGCGGCGAAGGCGGGUAGCUGGGCCGACACUGACGCUGAUGCGCGAAAGCCAGGGGAGCGAACGGG